rnacentral:rRNA from 1 species
UACGGGGGGGGCAAGCGUUGUUCGGAAUUACUGGGCGUAAAGGGCUUGUAGGUGGCCAACUAAGUCAGACGUGAAAUCCCUCGGCUUAACCGGGGAACUGCGUCUGAUACUGGAUGGCUUGAGUUUGGGAGAGGGACGCGGAAUUCCAGGUGUAGCGGUGAAAUGCGUAGAUAUCUGGAGGAACACCGGUGGCGAAGGCGGCGUCCUGGACCAACACUGACACUGAAAAGCGAAAGCCAGGGGAGCAAACAGG